rnacentral:misc_RNA from 1 species
AACAAGGCGUACCUGCGGACCUGCGGAGGGAUCAUUACACAAUACAAUAUGAAGGCUGUCCGCAGCUGGAGUAUUUUAUUACCCUUGUCUUUUGCGCACUUGUUGUUUCCUGGGCGGGUUCGCUCGCCACCAGGACCACCAAAUAAACCUUUUUUAUGCAGUUGCAAUCAGCGUCAGUACAAACAAUGUAAAUCAUUUACAACUUUCAACAACGGAUCU